rnacentral:lncRNA from 13 species
GUGAAACUUGAAAGUGUCAUCAUCAAGACCAUCAAGAUCUUAACAGCAGGCGGCUUUCCAUAGUGGUGUGACUGUAGACCAGAUCCACCAUCUGACUUCCACAGACAAGUGGUUCCUACUGGAGCAGCACCUGAGCCAGUUCAAAAGCCAGUCCUCAUCUCCUCAUCCAGUGUCUUAGCACAACUCUCUCCACCUCGCUGUCACGGCCGUUGCUGGAAGAAGACCAAGGUGCGGCGUGGUGAGCGUACAUUUUCCUUUUUAUUUCAAAAACAACCGUGAAGCUUACAGGGCAUUAGUGCCACAAACAAAGUUAACUACCCACAUCGAAAGGAGGGAAAAAGGGCUACCCAAGUAUGGUUCCCAAUCAGAGACAACGAUAGACAGCUGUCCCUGAUUGAAAACCAUACCCGGCCAAAACAUAGAAACACAAAAUCAUAGAAAACAAAACAUAGAAUGCCCACCCCAAAUUACACCCUGACCAAACCAAAUAGAGAUAUUAAAAAGUGACUCUCUCUCUCUCUCUCUCUCUCUCUCUCUCUCUCUCUCUCUCUCUCUCUCCUCCAGUCUUUCUCACACUAUCCAUCCAUACACCUCUCCUCUCUUCUCAUUUUUCAAUAUGACCCUCAUGCCAUAGCACUGCCCAGGUUGUUACUAUAGGGGGAUGGAGAUAUGGAGCAGCUGAUGCAGAGCAGACACAGGUGUGCUUCAGGCAUGUCAA